UCUCACUUUCUUUCAAAAUACUAAAAUUGGAACAAUACAGAGAAGAUUAGCAUGACCCCUGCACAAGGACACAAAUUCGUGAAGCAUUUUAUAAUUUU
rnacentral:snRNA from 1 species